CACAGCCGCGGGAACACGUAGGGUGCGAGCGUUAAUCGGAAUUACUGGGCGUAAGGCGUGCGUAGGCGGUUCGUUAAGUCUGUUGUUAAAGCCCCGGGCUCAACCUGGGAAUGGCAAUGGAUACUGGCGAGCUAGAGUGUGUCAGAGGAUGGUGGAAUUCCCGGUGUAGCGGUGAAAUGCGUAGAGAUCGGGAGGGACAUCAGUGGCGAAGGCGGCCAUCUGGGACAACACUGACGCUGAGGCACGAAAGCGUGGGGAGCAAACAGGAUUAGAUACCCCUGUAGUCCCUGUCUCUUAUACA
rnacentral:rRNA from 1 species